CCAAAAAUUAAGCCUAUCCGCUCUUUAUAAAAACCGUACCCAACUAAAUUAUAACAAAACAUUUUACCAGUUUAGUAAAGGCGAUUAAAAAACUUUCUAGCGCUUUACCCCUAGUACCGCAAGGGAAUAAUGAAAUAGCUUUGAAAUAGUCUUCAAGCAAAAAAAAGCAGAGAUUAUUACUCGUACCUUUUGCAUCAUGGUUUAGCCAGUCUUAUUCAAGCAAAGUGAAACAUCAGUUUGACCCCCCGAAACUAAGCGAGCUACUUAAAAACAGCUUAAUAGAGCCAACCCGUCUCUGUCGCAAAAGAGUGGGACGAUUUUUAAGUAGAGGUGAAAAGCCUACCGAGCUUAGAGAUAGCUGGUUAUUCAGGAAAAGAAUUUUAGUUCAACCUUAAGUUUAUUUAUUAACAAAAAAAUACCUUAAACUUUAGAGCUAUUCAAAUAAGGCACAGCUUAUUUGAAAAAGGAUACAACCUACAAAAAAGGGUAAAAAAAAUUACACAUUGCCAAGUGGGCCUAAAAGCAGCCACCUUUAAGAAAGCGUUAAAGCUCCUCCCCUUAUUUUCCCAUAAUUCCUAAAUGUAUAUUUAACCCUUUAUCCCUACUGAAUGACUCUAUAUUAUUAUAGAGGCCACCCUGCUAAAACUAGUAACAAGAAAUUGAUUUUUCUCCAAGAUAUAAAUAUAAACCAAAAUGGACAAACCACUGGUUAUUAACGUCAAUAAAAUUAUAUAAUAACUGAACCAGAAAACACUAUUAAUCUAUUCGUUAACCUUACACAAGUAUAUCUCUGGAAAGAUUUAAAAAAAGAGAAGGAACUCGGCAAACCAUAACCCCGCCUGUUUACCAAAAACAUCGCCUCUUGAAAAACUAUAAGAGGUCCAGCCUGCCCAGUGAUAUAAUUAAACGGCCGCGGUACCCUGACCGUGCGAAGGUAGCAUAAUCACUUGUUCUCUAAAUAGGGACUUGUAUCAACGGCAUCACGAGGGUUAUACUGUCUCCUCUUUUUAAUCAGUAAAACUGACCUCCCCGUGAAGAGGCGGGGAUAUUUAUACAAGACGAGAAGACCCCAUGGAGCUUUAAACCCAAUAACAGCCCACACUAAAUUUACCUGAAGAAAAGAAAAGCAAUGUUUAUUGGUUUUAGGUUGGGGUGACCACGGAGAAAAACUAAACCUCCACGAUGAAUGAACCUUAAUUCUAAUCUGCGAGUUACUGCUCUAAGAAUCAAUAAUUUGACAUAAUAUGAUCCGACAACGAUCAACGAACCAAGUUACCCUGGGGAUAACAGCGCAAUCCAUUUCAAGAGCCCUUAUCGACAAAUGGGUUUACGACCUCGAUGUUGGAUCAGGGUAUCCCAGUGGUGCAGCCGCUACUAAAGGUUUGUUUGUUCAACAAUUAAAAC
rnacentral:rRNA from 1 species